rnacentral:rRNA from 1 species
UACGUAGGGGGCUAGCGUUGUCCGGAUUUAUUGGGCGUAAAGAGCGUGUAGGCGGCCAGAUAGGUCCGUUGUGAAAACUCGGGGCUCAACCUCGAGACGCCGAUGGAAACCAUCUGGCUAGAGUCCGGAAGAGGAGAGUGGAAUUACCUGGUGGUAGCGGUGAAAUGCGCAGAUAUCAGGAAGAACACCCGUGGCUAAGGCGGCUCUCUAGUACGGUACUGACGCUGAGACGCGAAAGCGUGGGGAGCGAACAGG